UUCUAAAAUGUUAUACUUUUUCAGGUGCUUGUGCUCAAAGUCCUUGAUAGGCCGAACCAUCGACUGAUAGUUGGAAACACACACUUAUAUUUCCAGCCAGCUGCUGAUCACAUCCGUCUUCUCCAAGCAGGAUUAUCAAUAGCGUACAUUAAUGAUGUUGUUAGUAAAAUCAAACUUUCGGACCCACACUUGACAACUUCUGUGAUAUUGUGCGGUGAUUUCAAUAGCACUCCGGAUUGUGGUGUUUACAAAUUAAUGACUGAAAAACAUGUGCCUGUUGAUUAUCUUGACUGGAAAAGCC